AUUUGUUUCAUAUGUGGAUUAGAGGGGCACAACGUCAACAAUUGUGCGGCUUGGACACAGCCUCACCUAGUUGCUACCUUCUUUGGAAGUUCAGCUUUGGGGUUGGGGUUCUACCACAUUGAUGCUCCUGUGGGUCGUGAAGCAAAUUGGCGAAACUUCAGAAACUGAGAAGAGGUUUGGGUCAUGAAGGGAGAAAUUGACCAGUCAAAUUUGAUCAAGAACCUGUCAGGGAUUUUCUACAAAAAUAAACAGUGGAUUUGGCAAGUCAGACCUCUAUCUCAAAAGAAAUUCUUGGUUCGGUUCCCACCCUGAAAAGAUGUGGAAGAGCUGAUUGAAUUUCCUGCGUUUGAUUUGCCUAUUGAUGGAGUGUCUGUGACAGUGGAGAAGUGGACUGGUGCGAUUGACCCUUUCAGUGAGCCAACUGAAGCAUGGGUGGUCAUUGAAGGCAUCUCUUCCAAAUGGUGUACAUGGAAGGUGCUGUCACAGAUUGCAUCCUGCUUUGGGAUCCUUGUGGAUGUAGACUGGAACGGUUUAAUGAAAAGCUUCUAUGAGAAGGUGCGCGUCAAGAUUGCCCGCAGGAACCCAGCAAAAAUUCCCUUUGAACGCAUCAUGGAGAUGAGGAAAAAACUGUAUAUCUUGUCGUUCACAGUUGAAGGGUUUGAUUAGAUAGGUGCUGAUGACCCCAAUGAUGAUAAUGGCCCUACUGACAUAUCUAUAGAUGAUGACAAUAAAGAACUUGAAGAUGAGGAAAUUGACAAGGAUAUCCUAGAUGAUGGAGAAGAACCUAUUGAUGCUCUAGACCUGGCCAACAGAGCAAGCUCAUCGAAGAAAACACCUACAGGAAAGAAUAAGGAUAAUGAGGUGGCAUUCCAUCCAGCUGCCCUACCUGUUAUUCUCCUGUGA
rnacentral:rRNA from 1 species